AUUGAACGCUGGCGGCAGGCCUAACACAUGCAAGUCGAACGGUAGCACAGAGAGCUUGCUCUCGGGUGACGAGUGGCGGACGGGUGAGUAAUGUCUGGGAAACUGCCCGAUGGAGGGGGAUAACUACUGGAAACGGUAGCUAAUACCGCAUAACGUCGCAAGACCAAAGUGGGGGACCUUCGGGCCUCACACCAUCGGAUGUGCCCAGAUGGGAUUAGCUAGUAGGUGGGGUAAUGGCUCACCUAGGCGACGAUCCCUAGCUGGUCUGAGAGGAUGACCAGCCACACUGGAACUGAGACACGGUCCAGACUCCUACGGGAGGCAGCAGUGGGGAAUAUUGCACAAUGGGCGCAAGCCUGAUGCAGCCAUGCCGCGUGUAUGAAGAAGGCCUUAUGGUUGUAAAGCACUUUAAGCGAGGAGGAGGCUCUUUUGGUUAAUACCCAAGAUGAGUGGACGUUACUCGCAGAAUAAGCACCGGCUAACUCUGUGCCAGCAGCCGCGGUAA
rnacentral:rRNA from 1 species